rnacentral:rRNA from 1 species
AAUGAACGCUGGCGGCGUGCCUUACACAUGCAAGUCGAGCGAGGCGGCCCGCGAGGGUCAGUCGAGCGGCGGACGGGUGAGUAACGCGUGGAUAACCUGCCCAGAGGUGGGGGAUAACCCGGGGAAACUCGGGCUAAUACCGCAUGAUACCGAGAGGUCAAAGGGGGCUCGCAAGAGCUCUCGCCAUUGGAGGGGUCCGCGUCCGAUUAGCUAGUUGGUAGGGUAAUGGCCACCAAGGCGACGAUCGGUAGCCGGCCUGAGAGGGUGAUCGGCCACACUGGAACUGAGACACGGUCCAGACUCCUACGGGAGGCAGCAGUGGGGAAUUUUGCGCAAUGGGCUAACGCCUGACGCAGCAACGCCGCGUGGAGGAUGAAGGUCUUUGGAUUGUAAACUCCUGUCAGCAGGGAAAAANCAAAUCGGCCUAACACGCCGGUGAGUUGAUUGUACCUGCAGAGGAA